CACGGGGGGAGCAAGCGUUGUUCGGAUUCGUUGGGCGUAAAGGGCUCGUAGGUGGCUUUGUAAGUCGGAGGUGAAAGACCACGGCUCAACCGUGGAAACGCCUUCGAGACUGUGAAGCUUGAGGCUGGGAGAGGAAAUCGGAAUUCCUGGUGUAGCGGUGAAAUGCGUAGAUAUCAGGAGGAACACCGGUGGCGAAGGCGGAUUUCUGGACCAGUUCUGACACUGAUGAGCGAAAGCCAGGGGAGCAAACAGG
rnacentral:rRNA from 1 species